CUCCAUCCCUCCCUUCCUCCAUCCCUCCCUUCCUUCAUCCCUCCCUUCCUCCAUCCCUCCCUUCCUUUCCUUUUUUCUUUCCUUUCUCCCUUCCUCCCUUUCUUUCUUUCUUCGAUUAGGGGCAUCAGUGGUUAAAACAAAAGCUUAAUUCAUGUCUAUAAUAUUGCUAUUCAUUUCUGCACAGUCUCCUAGCAUGAUGUUCAGAAACAGGCAACCUUUAUUGCUCCCCUUCUAUGAGGCAGCAAAUUGCUUAUCGCUGAGAUUGUCAUGGCCUGGAUGGAACUUGGUCAAACGAGGACAGCAGAAUCAUCAUCAGCCCAGAAGUCCCACCUACCUGUGAACAUCUGAGUACCAAACUAUUGCAGAAUGAAUUCCUGGUGUCUUGUCCUAAUUCGAAAUGCUCUCCCUGACCUCUCCAUCCUGCUCCCAUUUUAUUCAACACCUCCUGUGCAGCUGGGAUGGAGACUCAGGCUUCAACCCUGUUACAUCUUCCCUGACUCAGCAUCUCAUAGGAGACCUUUGCAGUGUCUGCAGAUGAUGAUGCAAUAAGGUAACCAGAUCAAGAGACUCUGAGCCAGCCCUGGGCCAUGAAGUUACGAUAGGGAGUACAAGGCAUUAGCCAAUACCAUUCUCAUCAUCUCCAGAAACGUCUUUCUCUGAAGUGGUUUAUCUGUACUCCAAACGGGAUGAAGCCAAAAGGGGAGAGCUAGCUUGGAGGCAUACACAGUGUGUACUUAAUAAAAGGAAGCUUUCAAGAGAGGAAUGUGUGAGCUAAUGCAGUCCUAGAGCAAGAGCAACUCAUGCUUCAACAGGUUAUGUGCAUUUUUGUGUCUGUGGCUGAUAACUUGCCCCUACUUGCCAAUGCGAAUAAUCUCCUGCUCAGUGAAUGUUCUGCUCUUAGUGGUCAAGGGAUUCAGCACUUCAAUUAAUCCUCCUAAGCUGUCAGACUGUAAGUUUCCUCACAUGUGUGGGUUAGUGAGGUAGCAUGUAAACAUGUCUGUUUAGCACAAGGUCAGUUGAUGUACAAGCUCCAGGUGGAUGGUAUAGGCAUGACAGAAAAUAUUAAAAAAAUGGAUUGAAAACAAGACUAAUUUCAAAUAACAAUGCGAGCCAAAUCAUCAGAGCAUGUAAUGAUAUUGUUGACACAUAGCAUCUUGAAGUGAAAAUUGCUAAGGGAGGUUUUGGAAUCAUCACCAGGGAAGGUUUGUUUUUAAGGAAAACAAGGCACACAUUUGACAGGAACAGCACAGGUUAAUUGUCCAAGGCCAGAUUAAAUGACUGGCUUCUCUCUCAUGAUCUCUUACACUCUAGUUUCCUGUCUAUGUAAAGUAUUUUUGCUGUCUGUAUAAAAUACAUUGUCUAGUUUAGCUUAAAAAGUGUUGCCUUUUGAGUUCCAGUUGGCAUCCAGAUAUUCCAGUGUGUUCAGCCAUAAACUCCUCCACACAGAUUAUACAUCUGAAUUAUUAAAAGCUUUUGUUAAGAAGGGAAAAAGUGUGCUCCUGAGCUAUCAGAAGGUUCAGGAGGUGAACAGCAUUUCCUGCUUCUAUAAAUAACAUGUUUGAAAACUAAAGCAGUUCAUUACAACAGUCAUUUGGAAGCUGCAGCUGGCAGCUAUCACUUUUGGGGGAAAAAUGGUUGUGGCUUUGACAGCAGCAAAAUAACAGUGAAUGUAUGAGGUAGCUAACAGUGUUCAUAAAGGUGUAAUUCUGUCUUAAAUUGAGUUUCCAUUUGUUUUCAGCAGGCUUGCUGAAGAAAAUGUUAAGGCACCAAUGAAAAUGUUCCCAAAGAAAGCUUUAUAUUGGAAGCAGAAGGAGGACGAAGAGGGGAGAGAAAAAGAAUUCUGAGCACUCCAGGGUAAUUCAGGCUGGAAGGGACCUGUGGAGAGCUCUAGUCCAACCUUCUGCUCUGAGUAGAGUCAGCUCUGCGACCACAUAGGGUUGUGUGGAGCAUCCUGCUGCCUGGUCUUGGAAACCUCUUAUGGUGGAGACCUCACAGCCUCUUGGGGCAACCUGGGUAAAGAUUGUCUAGCAAAAUGUUAAGCCACUCAACUCCAGAUAUUUGAAACCAUGAGACAAAUGUGACCUUUCUGUGAGAAGACAGGGAUGUACACAAUUGGGAGGCAGAGAUUUGUCACUAGGCCACUAUCUAUAUUAGAAGAGUAUUUGUCCAAUCUGUCCUGAUGGAGCUAUUCUAAAUAAUAUAAAAUAUUUCUGAGAGGUAACAUGAGUAGGACUCUAUUGGUUGGACCCUUGUUGGAUAACAUCAGACAGGAAUUCUUGCUGGUGUUUUACUUUGCAGUAUUUCAUGUGGGGUCUUACCUGACAGAAAUGGAGUCUGUCAGGUAGAGUAAGGAAAAGAGAAAAGCAGAUUCAUAGUGCCAGAUGGAGUUUGUGGAGUCUAGUCCCUGUCUAGACCCAAAGAGCCUUCCUGGGCGCUUCAGGUGCCUUCACCAUUGCAGAACAGCUGAUCAGGGUUUCAGAGGCUUUAAGCCUGUCCUUUCUGUGACUACCAGCUAGGUCAUGGACCUCACUGCCUGGUCUGCACGCAGGACACCAGAGGAAAGUUCUGCUAUUUGUUUCACCUCCCAUGCUGCAACGAUGCAGCAAAGGACAGAAACUGCACUCAAGUUUCAACUUCGAGGGCUGAAAAUAACUGAGGAACAGCAAAAACGUGGUCCUGAGCAGUGGUCUAUAGAGCUUAAGCAUUUGGCAAGCAGUGAGGUGAUGUUUUGGUAGGAUCCUCACACAUUCCAGCUUAAGCAUCUGUUUAACUGUUUGGCUGACCAAAGCCAAGAACUCUGAAUAUUGUGUAAUCACAUCUCAUGUUGGUGCUUGUUAAAGUAUGUAUCUAUUAUUGAUACUGGGUUUCUGGAAAUACUUUGAGAUCUGUUGAUAUGUCCCCAGGAUUUUCUUUUUCCUUUCUUUCUCUAUUUAUUUAUUUAUUCUUCUUUUAGAAUUUAGCUUAAUAGAUUGUAUCCAAAUAUCAGUGUUUGUCACUGGGAAUGUAGGAGGUAGGAAUUUUGAGUUAAAUUUUUGUUUAUACUGACCUCUUUUGUGGCUUUAGGUGUAGCACGUAUGCAUCCAAAAUAUGAUUUGCUUUUUAACAACUAGCAGUCAUUAGGCUUUAUGGUUAUUGAUUAAUAAUGGCUUUUUAAUAUAAAGUGUCACAAAGGGGUGGUAUAUUUUGAUGCUCUUUUCUAUUCAUAGUAGCUACCAAUUUUUAUUAUUCUUUACAUAAAAAUUAAAUUAAUGUAUUUGUUUUGUGAUGCUUGAAGAAAGACUGCUGAAAAGUCUAAAUAUCUACCAAGGUAAUAGUUGUGUUUAUGAUUGAUUUUUAUCGGUAAAGUUUGACCAGCUUGGAAUUGCGACUGCUGUUUUAAAAUUGUUUUUCAUAUCAAAAUGCUAUUGCAACUGGAAAGUUUUAAUUUUAAAGCAUGUAAAGGAAUAAGAGCAGGCUGCAAAAGUAUGUACCCAGGUGAGUGGUCUUCACCUUUGCAAUCCUGUUGUUCUGGGUGAGACUACGCAUACAACUGAAGGUUGCAAGACUGGAUUGAGAGUAAAUACUUGAUUUAAUGGAAUACUAUUCUGAGUACUUUGAAUGUCAUUCAGGAUAGUCCAAAGCAUAUUUAUAAUUUACUGGAAAUGUUUGCUAUUUCCAACUUAUUUUUCUUUUUCUAUUUGUAGUACUUGAUGUAUACUUACACUAGCCCAGUGUAUAACAGAUAUUUUCCGCUUGUUUUGAACCCUUUUAGGUUAAGUAACCACAGGUAGAACAUUAUCUUAAAAAAAAAAUAAUCAAAACAAACUCCAAAAUUUCCAGUUUUGUCAUUUAAAAAGGCUAAGAUCUCAAGAUAAAAUGAAAAAUAGAAAACCUGAGGUUUAGUCUGAGACUCAAAACAGAUUCUGACGUUUAUGUUUGUACUUCCAAUAAAUCAUUUUGAAGACCCUUAUGGCAAAAUCUAGGGGAAAAUCUACAUACUUAGAAUGGCAUGUGACUGGAAUUUAAACACCUAUACCAAGAAAGUGAUCCAGAUAGUUUGCGCUUUGCUCAGACUCUGAAAAUCAAGUGUCUGGCACCUGGCCAGGCUGUCCCCAUGGAGCUCUUGCCUCCUUCCAAGAUGGCACCAGAUCUGCUGUAGCUGUGGUCGGUGUUUCCAACACUCGCCUUUUCCAGGACUGACUUGUGACCUCAGCUGAGAGUUGGGUGAGCUGCUUUUUCUUGCCUCCGCAGCUCCCAGUUCUCCAAAAAUUGGGCAGAUCACUCCAGGCUUUUGACUAUUUUAUGCUGAGAUAUGGUCCAUCUCUCAUGUUGAAGCUGAAUUACUGUGUAGCCAGGGACACGCCUCAGAGAGCUGAAGGGGAAGGCGGAGGCAAUUGGGCUUGUGCAAAGGAGGUUUUGGGGUUACUUGUUUGGACCCCAUCGCUGUUGUUUCUGUUUGGAAUUUUCCAAAAGCUGCAACCAUUGUGAGUUUCAUGAUUUUGCAUCAUGGCUUAGAUAAGAUAUAGAGAUAUUUGUGCUGUGCAAUCCGUCGUUAACAAAGGACCUGAUUUCUGCAGAUAUAUCUCCUAAAUAUUGUGUUUGCUGCCAGUAGUCCCACUGAAAAAUCUUACUAGUGAGUAUAGUAUAUGUAUACAUAUUUUCUAAUAAAAUAUUAGCACGACUUACUUGGUGGAAAAGGCACAGAAUCAGACCCUUUACCUUCAUCUAACUUGUAGAAGCCUCUGGAGAUUUAUCCUAUUUUAACUGUGAUGGUGAAAGCAAAUUCACUGCUCAUGCAGGUUGAGAUAUUAUGGCUUAUAAGGACAUUGCUGACAAUUUUUAGGGUUGCAGUAGAGUUGAUGCCAGCAUGGUUAGUUAAGACAAUCUUGUUUUUAAGGUAAAGAUUUGGAUAUGUUUUUACACAGUAACAUCUCGAAAAUGGAGGGGGGAAAUAUUACUUAGGAUGACUCAUAAAAGUGCUUUAAAAAUGCUAUUAAGAUUUAAGGCAUAAUGUAGAUCCUAUAAAUCUACUCUGCAUUCUUUCACCAGGAAUGAGUGACUUUUAUGAAAACUAGGGCCUGUAAAUCAAGAACCUAAAUAAGGGGUGGGUUUUUUUGACAUGUAAAUACAGAUUAUGCAUUAGCUGAGCCCUGACUUGCUGCCUCCUGGUUCCAUGGGGGACGCACAAAGUAGACAUUUAUUAUUCUGAGCAACAGUUUUGCCUUGUAAAAGCAGGUAAGCAAAAAUAUAGUUUAGCAUUCCUCUAGGGAAGAACUUUAUUUCUAGUGAUUCGGGAGGGGGAAUUGCUUGUUCUCUUGCUCAGUCCUGCUUUUCUGCUUCCCUGUUUGUUCAUCUCUUGUGUAGGACUGGUGUGUAUUUCUAAGGAGAUGGCAUCACUUCUGAAAGCGCUCCUGAAGCUCUCUAAACACAAAUGUUAACGAGAAGGUUAAACCUCCCUGCACAUGCAAGCAAGCAUGCUCAGGCACACGUACACACACGUACACACCUUUUUCAGUGUACACAGGGAGCGUUUGCUCUGUUUCUGAAGUUGUUUUAAGAAGCAGCUUCCAUGCCGAACAAUCUUCCAAAACGCCAUUAAACGUCCUUAGGAAAUACCAACGGUUUCCAUCGCGUUAUCACAAAUAUACUUGACCAUUUGCAUCUUUGGCCUCGGCUUAAUUUGUUUUCGCCUCGUACCCUUGUCUCCAGGCUGUAACUCAUACGGUGCAAUCUGGCACAGCGAAUACUCCCCUGCCCCUCCAGCUGCUUAUCGGAACCUGGAGCAGACCUGGCGCGUUCGCAGCAGCCAGCUUACUUAACCUUAUCUGCUUUAUGCUUCUAUAUUUAAACAAGGAGGGCUCUUUGUUGCUGAACUAAUAUAAAACAUAACUUGACUGGAUGCCUGACUUUUAAAGAAAGGGCAUCUAUCACUUUUAUGUGGCAUUUCAAAGAAGAAGGCAUUUAAUAACACUGAAAGACAAAGAAGGGAGUCUGUCUUAAUGUACAACCAGCAGUCUAAUGAUUAACUUCUCUUAAUACUUAAUCAGUUUAUGGUAGGGAAGAAAAACAACAGUGCUAUGGAAUUGAUCAGUGUUGUGUUAAGGAGUUUGCUGUACUGUCUAAAAUGAUACAGAAAACAUAUACAGCUGGUGUACAGUAGUACAUGAUUAAUUUCAAAAGAAUACAUGCAACCCAUGUUCAAAAGCAUUUAAAAGAGGAGGAUGAGGAGGGUGACAGCAAGGAUUCACCCUGCAGGAGAGAGCAGUGGAUGUGGACCAUAAUGUCCUUGUGCACCUGAGAUGAUUGCACCGGGCUGUGCCACCUCCCCAGCCCCCCAAGACCAGUGUCCCGCUUGUCCCUGUCUCACUGCAGACUGGUGGGAGAGCUCCUGCUCAGCAGGGUAGGACAGUCAGGCAGCUGCCACCAGGCUGUGAAAGGAAAAGAACUAUGGAAUCAUAAAAUCAUUUUCUUUGGAAGGGACCAUCAAGAUCAUCGGUUCCAACCGUUACCCAACAUUGGCACUAACCCAUGUCCCUAAGAACAUCAUCUACAUGUCUUUUAAACCCCUCCAGGGAUGGUGACUCCACCACUUCCCCGGGCAGCCUGUUCCAAUGCCUGACAACCCUUUCUGUGAAGAAAUUUUUCCUAAUAUCCAAUCUGAACCUCCCUUGGUGCAAUUUGAGGACAUUUCCUCUCAACCUAUCCCUUGUAACUUGGGAGAAGAAGGACUGCUUCUACCCCUGUCGUGGUGGCAUGAGGUGCUGCCUGUGUGGGAACUUCUAACUUGAGAAUACAAUGCGAAUUUUAUACUAAUUUUAGCAUGACUCUCUAAGCCAGCCUUAUUGCAGAUACUUCCUUGCACAUAUGCUGAUUUAUAUUAGGUAAUAGCCUCUUUCCUUUCUACCCCUACUUCCUGGAGAAUUGAAAAGUUUAUUUAUUUUCUCUCUAACUGCUGCAGAAGUUGCAGAUAAUUCCAUAUUCAGCCUUCUAAGGUGGGUUUGGGCACUUCCUAUCUCAUAAGAGGAAAAAAAUCCUGUCCAAGGUUUUUACAUACGAAAAAAAACCCACAACAUUUUGCAAAUAUAGUCUUAACGUACAUCAGGCAAAAGUAGGGAAAAAACCCUAGGAACUUGUUACAGUGGGUGUGACUUUCAUUUAUGGUGAUUUUAUCUUUUUCUUCUUCUGAGAGUAAGCUUACACAAGACGGCUUUCCCAUUGCCUCUAUUUACAUAAAAUACAAAUAGAAAUAAUAUUUUCCUUUAUUUGGCAGAAAUGCUUUCUCUCCCUUUUUUAUUUUUUCAUUUUUCUAGUGAAUUUCACAGCUUGAUUGCUAUGCCACAAUGGUCCAUAGAGUGUAAUAGUGUGGAGUACAGUGGCUAUUUCAUUACUAUCCCACUGGACUAGGGCACUGCAUUUGUCUGUAUUUGUGAGAAGAACCUGCUGAAGCUGUUCAUAUCUUGGCUUAAAAAAGAGAGAGCAGCAAAGUCGUCAUUCCCUCUGCUCCUCCUCCAGAGGAAAAACACCUUCAUAUGCCCAGUUUCUUUUUAUAAGAGCAUACCGCAGAUGAGGAAAACCAUGAUAUUCUGACUUGCCAAUGCAUUUGCAGUUAGCUGAAAGAAUUCUUAUUUCUCAUGAGGGUGGUCAUCAUAUGUAUUUUCAACUGAAAUUAUUUAAAAUUGAGGUAGUUGUGAUAAAAAGUAAUUUUAUUUGUCAACUCUAAGCAACUGCACGCAGUAACUUUGUGCCUGCAGUUUAUAGUAUCAGCAGCAUUCAGCAUACACCUUUCAAUGUAGCCAUGAUCCUGGAAAUUCAGUAUGUACUGUUCUUUCAAAACAAAUCAAAAACUUCAAGCCUGGGGAUGGAGAUCACUUAGCGGUGAUUUGAAAGAGUGUUUCUCUGGGUGGAUGAAAUUGUGCACCUUCUGAGAUCCGUUCGUGUCUCAAGUGAAUCACGUGAAUCACCCGAAAGGGCUGUUUGGACUUUUUUGCCAUGAUUUUCCUGGGAGGGGGUUCCAGCAAUGUGCAGUCCUUGCUGCCAUUUGAAAUCACAACUUGGCUUUGGCCUGCUUUCCAUUUUGGCCUCAACUUCUUAAGAGGCAUCUGAACUUCCAUGAACCCAGCCCAUGCUCAGGACAUGGGGCUCGGAUUAUUAAAUACUUUUAAAAUGUCUGUAACAGCUUUCUCCCAAAGACCUAAGGACACUUGAACACACUUGUGAUUAACUGCACACUCUGCACCCUGUCCCAGUAGAAAACACCUGGGAAAGCCACAUCGGCUCUGAAUAUACUUUCCCAACAUGAGGACAUGGUGGAGAGGGACCUGGACCGAAAUCUCAUUUAAAAUACUUCGCAUGGUUCAGAAGUUCUGCUUUCCAGGUCUACAAUUUGAAUGGCCCUUUUCUAUAGCAUGAUGAUUUAAAUCACAACCACCACUUGCAAAUUCUUGGAAAAAUACAGAUGUUAUGUACAUAUAUACGAUAUACAAACAAAUCUGUCUGAUGAUCAUGCAGUGAGAUAAAGAACAGUCCCAGGCUUAGAGUAUGGGUGUAUGAUGUAAAGACUUGGUUUUCAGAAUUUUCUUUUCCCAUUGUAGGAUAUUCGAGGGGGAGAAGAAAACAACUCUGACUCUCUGUUUCAUACAUAUUUUCAUUGCUUUAUUAAACUGUUAUUGUGCUUGAAACAAGGAAACCUUCCUACUGCAGCAUAUUACACAGAAAAAUGCAGAGGAGCGAGCUCUACCCCAGUUUUUCAGAGCUGCAUCUGUUCCACAGCCCAAACUUCAGGUUUCAGAAAUGACCCUACAAUGAGACCCAGCAUGCCACCUGCCUGCUCCUCCACCGCAGCUGUACAGAAGUUACAAGUGGCAUCUGCUCCUCUUGCCUGACCUUCAGAAGAUCACAGAAUCACAGAAUGGCAGGGCUUGGAAGGGACCUGGAAAGCUCAUCCAGUGCAAUCCCCCAGCCGGAGCAGGAACACCCAGAUGAGGUUACACAGGAAGGCAUCCAGGAGGGUUGGAAGGUCUGCAGAGAAGGAGACUCCACAACCUCCCUGGGCAGCCUGGGCCAGUGUCUGUCAUCCUCACUGAGAAGAAGUUUAUUCUCAAAUUUAAGUGGAACCUUUUGUGUUCCAGUUUGAACCCAUUACCCCUUGUCCUACCAUGUUAGGACCUAAGAAACUCAUGUGCUAAGAGGACACUGUCAGUGUUUCCCCUGAGCUGACACUCUUGCCUAUAGAGCAAAGGCUGGUUCUAGGUGAGGUAAGUAGGAACCAAAUGCAACUUUUGGCUUUAGGUUGGGACAAUAACAGUCAAUUCACUCAGUCAUUGGUUAUCACCUUUGAAUAUAUCCAAUCUAAAGGAGUGGAGCCACUUGCUAUUGUCCCCUUCCCUCCAGCCCUUCCCCAAAGAGGCAGAAAAAGCCACAAAGUUGUAGACAAUUGAGAAGUUUAGGGCAGCCUGAGCAGUUACUGAGGACUUCUGCCCCACAGCCACAUAGAGAAUACCAUGUAAUGAGUUUUAAAUUUUAUAUUUAACCCAAGAGGUCCUAGACAGACAGAAGCUCCAAAACACCAGUGCACUAUACAUGUGUGCAUCCUCUCUGUCCUUUCCUUGCAGAUUUCCUAAACGCAGACCUACCCUUCAAGGAGUUUCCAUGCAGGUAGACCCUCCUGGCUUUCAGUGAUGCUCCAUGACUAUCCUGUGAACCAGCUCUCUUCAGGAUCAGGGUCUAAGGAAACACUAAGUGAAAACAGGUGAGUAACUAUCUAAUAUGAGGAAAAAGGAGAGGGGAAAUCCUCUUCCCUGGGGUUACAUUUAAAGCUGAGUAGGGAGUUCUAGGUUGAAAGGUUAGAGAGAAAAAUUAUUCUUGUUUCAGGAGGAGGUCUUGUUGGAGAGAAGUGUUGAAAUGAGAGAGCUUUAGGGUUAAGAAAGUUUCUGUGCUCAAGUAAGUGGUAGCUGAGAAGUUACUUUAAAUAACUUCAGUACAACUAGUGAGCAGGGAAAUUAAUUUCCUUCCAAAAUGACGCGGUGGAAAGGCAAAGCCUUGGGUCACAGCUUAGACAAAAAGAAAAGGUAAAUGCUUUGCAUUAAAUUCCUUGUGCACUUCAUACUUUUACAGACAUCUUUGAAAUUUAUAGUGUAGAUGCUCAGGUUUGAAGUAGAAGCUCACCUUGCCUGACCUCCCACAUAAAACAGGCCUUUGAAUCUGACCCUGUAAUUUCUGCAUCAGGCACCUCUCUCUCUGUUUGAGCUAUAACAUGUCUCUAAGAUAUCCAUCUAGUGUUGACUGGAAGACUGCAAAUAAAGGAAAUCCAUCAUGUCCUUAGGUAGCUGUGUUUAAAUCACUAAGAUAAGCUGGUACAUCUAAGGCUUUCCCUGCAGACAAGACAGUAACAAGAAUUUGCUGAAGAGGCCAGAGCUUGUGGGAGGGUAAAGAGGCUGCAGAUCCAGCCAUUAUUUUCAUAAAGGUCAGAAAUGGGGAAAAUGCAAAGUGUUGCUCUAGUUCCAAUGCAAAAUCAAUGUAAUAUCAUUCUGAUUAAUGUGUAACAUCUGACUUAAUGUGAAAAGUGUUCUUCAUAAAGUUGAAGGGCUUUCAAAGGACAAUGGACUUUGGUUUAUUAAUUAUUUGGUUUUCAAGGCUGACAUUGGCUGGGUGACUGGGCAGUAAUUCUAUACUGAGCACAAAUUAAAAACUCUUUGGGAAAAAAGAUGUGAUGUUACCUGGGAAAACAAUUCCAUUUGGUUUUGUGUUAUCUGGUUGCAGGUCACCUUUUUCCAUGCCAACUCUUUAAAAUUUUUUUUGAAGAUAGUUCACUUAUGUUUUUGGCAUUUGGGGAGCAAAAAGUCUAUACCAUACAAUUAGGUGAAAUUUAAACCCAAUUAAAAAAUAACAAGUUUGUUUGAGGUGACAUUAUGUGGAAUAUUUUUGUUUCAGGCUGAUGACCUCCAAAUGAUGUUACUCUCUAGUAGUGAUAAACAUGAAUUCGAAUCUUAGUUUUGUUGUUCUUUGUAUUUGUCAAAAUCUAUAUUCACAGUUUCUCAAACCUGACCAUUAAGUUUCAGGUGGACUGCUUUAAAAAACCUCAGUCAAUGUACUUUCUAUAUUAUUUCAGUAAUACAAUUUUUACCAAAGUUUGAACAAAGGUAUUGACUUAUGAACCAUCCGAUGGCUCUAUAUCUUUUUUUACAUAGAUAUUUUGAUAUCUUUUAACAUAUUAAGGAGGUUUCUUAUCUUUCUGCGUUAUUUCCCCUCCCCUUUUAUCUACUAAAUCUGUAUUGUGAGCCUCUAACGUUCUUACAUUUUUGUUUCCUUCCUUUCCUCUCUCACACUUUCCUUAAUACAGGACUCCUGUUCCUAGUGCCCAUCAAUCAAACUGUAAAUCCCAGACAAAAAUAAUUAGUGUGGGUGGCUCCUGGGUGCUGAUGGAGCUGGGUGGCAAGAACCUGGAGCUAAAGCUGCCUUGUGUAGGGUGAACCACAGCUGGUGUCCAUUGGUGCUUCUUUGGUGGAGCACUUUGCUCUGUUUUCAUUGUAUUUCAUUAAGAAGGGUUUCUGUAAGGUACACCCCCUUUCUGUGAAACAUGUGCGGGUUCCCUCACUCGGAAAUAACAACAGGAUUUCCUCUGAGGUGACACAUGUAAAAAUGCCCUUUUCAAUGAGAUCAUUGGCUUUGGAUGCCUGAUUUCCCUUUGUAUUCAAACAGCAUUAACUUACAUAUUUCCCAUUCAACUUUUUUGUGUGUUUCAUUUGUUGUUCCACCAGUGAGAUCUGUAGAGUUUAGAGCAGAAGAUUUAAAUCACUGGGCUUUAGAGUGAAGUCAGUUCCGUCUUCUCUUAUUGGAUUUGUUUUUACCUGGGUUAGCCUUCCCACUGACAGAUCUUCAGGUUUUUUUUGUCUUCUGUUUGUUUUCCAAUUACAGACAAGUAAAGGAGAUUUUGCAGCAUUCAAGGUAACUGAAGUAACACCCAGGUCAUAUUAAUAUGGUUCCACAUGUCUCCUCACUCAUCAAGUCUGCUUCAGCAUUAAACUUGUUUUCAUGCUACAGAAUGAGCCGUUCCACAUUUUUAGUGCAUCUUAGGACAGAAUGACCAGUAUUGUUCAUAAAUGACUGCACGGUCAUCUGAAAGAUAUUCUGGUUAAUUUCACUACAACAAUAUAAUGAAUCCGAAAAAUACAAAGUAACCUUUCUUAGAUUCAGGAAAAUGUCUUUCAAGAUUAAUGAGAUUCCCCCUGCCUCUCGUCAGAAAACUACCCAAACAAGCACUCUAGUGUGGUUUUCUUUCUCCUUAUAGAAGUUUCUUAAGAAGGUGAGUGAGUGGGUCAUCACCAGGUCAAGAGUCUUUGGUUAUGAACACUACCUCUCAUUUGCUUUAAUAGGUAACCACACAGCCCUGCAUAACUUCUGGUAUAGCCUUGUGUCACCAGUUGUUAGAAAUGAGGUAACGUGUUUAUGGAUGGAGGUGUCAAGUACGUGGUUCUGUAGCCCAAAAUUUUAUGCAGUACAUUAUUUCUCUUUGCCCAUCCAAAAUGUCUUUAACCAUGACACAGAACAACCUUGCUAAGGAAGUAGAACAUGCUGCAUUUGUUUAAGGGCAAUUAUUUCAAAUGUAGUUGACCUCUAUUUUGUAGGUAAAAUUAUAUUUUUAAAAGCUUAUAAAUAAGGGACUAUGACAGUAUAACUUAUCAUUAAAAUGCUUAUUAUGCCUGAGGUAAAAAAUAUUGAAGAAAGAUGAAAACUACUUGGGUACCUGUGGCAUGAAGACCAAGAUACCUAAAGGGAAAAGAUGAAUAAGACAGAUUGGGAAAGUAGAGUGUAAUUCAUUAAUACAUCACCAUAAAUCGUUUUGGAAAUUCUUGAAAUAAAUUAUAUAGGAUAUUAUCUGAGGAUACCUUAUAUAGGAUAUUAUCUGAGGUACCUUUUUGGUACAUAAUGUAAUUAAGUAAAUAAAUUUAAUUAGUAGCCUAGUUUCAGGAAUAUGGACUAGACCCACUAGUCUCUGGUAGCUGCCUACACCAAUUUAACAUGACUGGAAGAAUUUCAGAACUUCUAUUAUUACCCUUACAAUACUGGAAAUCACAAAAGGUGUAGGAAAUUUAGGACUCCUAUGCAUAACAUACCAGUGCAUUAAAAGUCACCAUUCUUAGAUCUCGCUGCUGCUUAGAAUUAACCAAAGAAGAAGCGAAUGAGAUAUAAUUUUUGCACAGAAUAACAAGAAUGUGCUCUGCAGAGCAUUUGGCUACAAAGAUGUGCACUUCAAGGAAUCUAUUGUGCCAACUAUAUAAAGAGCUUCCUUUUUUAACAGGCAAGUAGGAAAAAAAAAAAAUGAGUAGAUUACUGUCCUAUGGAAACUUAAGAGAAUUGCUCUUCAAGGUCAGGAGCAUGCUGGUAGACUUCUAUAGUCACCAGUGCUGUUUUCUGUGCAAAAGUUUUCUGUGCAAAAACUUUUUAAACUUCACAGUAGAUACAGGUUUUAUUGCACUAGCCAUUAACUGUUAAAAAGUCAGGAUCCUAUGCCAAACUGUCUCAUUUAGGGAAAGGAAAGGGGUAGACACCAGGUAGCAACUCUUCUUACCUAUUUGUAGAUGGCUGGCUGAAGAGGGGGUGAGUACUCAAGUCCUCGGUAAUCUCUCUUCACGCAUGAGAAGCAGAGGACCUACCAUGUUGUUAGGCAGAAAAUUGGAAAUAUGAAGUAAAAUGUUUAUUUUCCAAAAUAAAUUAGGUGCUAGUGAGAUCCUGCCUGUUUUGGGCACUGCUUCUAAAGGAACUAGCUAGAAGUUGGCAAGUGCCGGCCUGUCCAAUGAAUGAUGAUAUUAAGAAAUAAAAGCAUUGCAUUUGGAUGGCAGUAUCCAAAUAAAUCCAAGUGGUUUCUAAACCAUAUCUUGAGAAAACAAACAAACAAACAAACAAACCAAACCAAUAUUCUGCUGCUCCCAUAAUAAAAUUAAUAGACAAAAGUAGAUUAGUACUGUCUGACAUAGCCAUCUGAGUUCCAGUUCUCUCCCAGACCCCUUUGCAAGUCUGACUUAGUUAUUAGCUCAUGUUAAGAAUUCAGAAGCAAAUUGUGUACAGUCUCCAUCUACAUUAGGCUAGAUAUAUUUUCGGUCUGUUUUCUUAUGCCUUGCUUUGAUCUGUUGUUUUGAUUGCUUCACAGGAUAUCAGUAAUUAUUAUGGGAGCAAAAUGAAAUGAAAUCAAAGUUUUUCCAAAAGGUUAUAGGAAGUAUGGACUCAUAGCCUAGGUAGGGAACCUUACCAGAGUCAAGUCAGAUAUAGAGCCUGUGACCACUGAAGUGUUUUAGGAAAUUUUCUUUCAUUUGUCUUAAUUUUAUGUAUCAUGAGGUGCUUAAUAAGAUGCCAUGUGUAAUGCUGAAGUGACCUGCUUCUACUUUACAAGUGCAAUUACCUAAAGACAAGCCGGGUUUUGUGCAAUUUUCUGCUGGGAUGUUGAGGAGGCGGCAGGUGGUGAAGCAAGUCGGUGCCAACUAUUACAGCGCUGCCCUUCUGGAAAGUGAAGUGGAGGUGAAAAAUGUUACCAUGUCUCUGGGUCUCCUUUCCCCUCGGAGGGAAGCCUCGGUGUUCAAAGGCUUGCAUUGUACCCAUGGCCUCUCUAAACAACAUAAAACUCACUCCAGUUCGGUGUGGGUGGGCAGUUAAAGCUAAGGUAAACAACCCUCAUUGCCAAGCAAUAUUUUUUUUAAGCAGUAGGCAAGAUGCAUUUCAACGAAUGCAUUUCGAAAGGAAUAACCACAAAGAUAUGGGAAACACCUGUGAGUGUUUGUUGUGUGGGGGCUCCCUACAGGGGGACCCCAUGGGAGUGCAAAACCCACCAGGAACUUUGCUGCGAAGCUGUUGUGACCUCUGCAAGGUAGGAAAAAAAUACAGCGAUUGAUUGGGCAUGUUUUGUGUGUGAAAUUGAGCAUGGGUGCGCACAAUAUUCACUCUAAAUGCGAAUGCAAAUUGCCUCCCUACUAUUACAGGGAGGGCAUGGUAGAGAAAGGGCCAAAGGGGGUGGUUGUCCCCUCCAGAGCAGCCCAGAAUGGGACAUAUGCACCCAGUUCUGUGACACAGCACUGACUGUUUACCUACAGUGUGUUUUAAGAUCUCAGUCUUGAGAUUUACUUAGGAACAUCCCCACAGAUACAGCUGGGAUUCACAGAUGUCAAGCUAACAGCACUUUUUUGUCAAACACACCUUGACUUGGCUAGUUAAGUUUGAUGUCUUGAAAAUGUCAUCACCUUGAGCGAGGAGGAGACAAACUUGUUCCAUAGGAACAAGUAAUGUUAUAUAAUAACUUCAUAAUCAUUUGUAGAGUUGUAGAGUAAGGCCAGAAGGGAAUAUUUGACUUCCUAUGCAGUGGGGGGCAGACUGCGUUAGUCCACAAAAGGAUAUAUUUUAGAAAGGCAUCCACAUUUGUUUAAAAAGUUUAAGUGAUGGAGAAACCAUGCAUGAGAAGUUCUUGAAGUGAUGGACUGGUAUUGAAUAAAAGUCAUCACCUAUUUUCCAGUUUGAAUUUAUGCAGCUUCAGCUUCCAGUCUCUUAAUCUUGGUAUGACUUUGUCUGAUGUGUUUAAAAAACUUCUUCUAACAUCCAAAUUUUUAAACAUUCCACUCUAGAUCAGGAUCUGGAGAGUGGCAGGUCACCUUUGGAAGUUUAAAUAGAUCUAGCUUCUAAAACUAUUCCCAGUUUUCCAGAGACUGACAAAGCGUGUCCAGUGCUAUAAGUUUUGACUUAUCUACACCUGUAACAGCUUAAGAAAGUACCAUGGUUACAUACAAUCCUAAUUAAUGUCAUUGCAUCCCUACAAAACCCAUCAGAACAGCAGUCUGAAGUCAUGAUAGUAAUACAGCUUGGAGCUGUAGAGGUUUUGGACCACAUAGUGUGUUUGUAUUGUCAAAAGCCUUUUCCUGGACUCUAGCUGCAGGUUCUAGUGUGUAUUUGUGUCAUGUUUUUAUAGCAUACAUGGCCCCUCUCUCUUUCCCUGAUCCAAGCAAACAAGAGGUCAUAUAGCCAUGGUUGGUAUGGGAGUGAUUCUAACAGGAAAAAUAAGUGCAGAAAGACUGGGAUAGGGGUGGAAUUGGGUUAUAUUGUCUAUAUAGUCAUGCCCCUGCAAAAAUAUAAGAUUCUAGGAUAUAUAAAUAUACAUCACUUCCCUGUGUUGGCUAAAGCUAAUCUGCAUCUUUAUAGGCUUAGCCAAAUGCCUGGUGGAAAGACUCUUGUUGGCUGAAACACAGCUUGGAGGCUUCUCAAGAACUUAGAUUUUGCCAUCAUGAGACACUGAUCUGUUUCCUGCAUCUACUUAGACUCAGAUCUAUUUGUUUUGGUCUUGAACUAAUCUACUGCUGCUCCAUAGGGUGUUUUCUCGGCCCUGUACAAGUGGAAGGUAACUGGGGUUCUGACUCACAUACUGUGAGUGAGCUUUUACAACGUUCUCAGUUAGGAUCUUUUCAUAGAGCGUGACCCAGAAAAUACCAGACUUUACCUUUGUUGAGCUCUCAGUGACAGGCAGUAGCAAACCCAUCAGUGCUAAACUGGAUAGGUUUGAUCUAGAAAUAACUGUAAGGCAAGAAAUAGAGAACCCCAGGAUACAAUUUUUUGCAGGUUUGCUUUUCACAAAAGUGCAGUUACAUCAUUAAGCUACUUUACAUUUCUUUCCUCAGCAAAAGAUCUCCUUUUAUUGGAAUAAUAUGAAGAAUACAAAAUUGAAAAUCCUAAUGAGACCAUCUGAGGCUAAGGGGACAUUUACAAACUCUGGGAUUUUAGAAGGUUAAGAAAAGAGAUCAAUUGUCUAACUAUUUGAAGUUUCCUUGCACAGGUUGUUUUCACAGGGAAAACUCACAUAUGGUUCUACAUAGGUAUUUCAUCGUAAGAAAGAAGAGAGAAGACAGGAUGUGUGUCUGUCUCCCAUUCUAGGACAUGGGUCCAAGUCAUAUAUUAUGAUUUGUUCAAAUCAUUUUACUGUUCUACAGGAGAGAGAGAAUUUUUCUUCUCAAAGCUUGCUCUCUAAGGUAGAGUUCUGUUAUAUCAUAGUAUUGUUAUAUCCUAUUCUAUGUCCCCACUUCUGUUAUAUUGUAGAAAGAAGAGGUGUGCAGUGCUAUGGAUCUGUGUCCAGUAAAACACUACUGAGUUUGCAGUCUAGAGACUAAUGUCUCAGAUGGCAGAGGUGAAUUAAACGCACCAGCAGUAAUGGAUCUCUUUUUACCCUCACUCCUGGGAUGAUGUGACUAUAGGCAAUGUUACAGUUGGUGCUAUACCCCACAACAAAGGCUAAUCAGAAAAGAGUAGGAAUUCUAAAAGCAUGAUGAAAAGGAAAUAAGAGGAUUAAACAAUGUCUUCUUACAUUCAGGAUAUUGUUCUCAAAUUGUAGUCAAUUAUGAGAUAAAGAUCCCCUCUGUCAGGGAGAAGAAAGAGUUACAGCAGACAGUGCUCUGGGGAAAUGUAGUUUUGCUUAAGGAACACUAAUGUUGUAUUAACAUAAUCCUGAAAGUUUAAUGGCUGCUCUCCUCCUCUAAGUGCAGUGGACUUACUUUGGUUUAGAAGACUGCAGAAAAUGGAGAAUUUGUGCUCAUUGUGCUAUCGGUAAGCAGAGAAGCUACUUAAAAUGUUUUUGAAACUCAUUUUGUCUGACAGAUAAGUGAUUGCUCUUUUUGGAUUAAUGGACCAUUAAUACAGGAUGUCCCUGCAGGCUCAGGUCCUGCUCCUUUCCUGCAGACAAGUUAUAGCACGAUACAAGUUCUGCAAGUGCCAGAAGCGUCUUUUCCACCUUGCCUGGUGUCACACAGUGAAGUACUGGAAUGCCAAACAAACAAAACAUGUCCUGUUGCUGUUCAGAAGCACGUCAUGCCGGUAAUAAAAACUGGAACUGUAAAAGGAAAGGUAAUUUCUAUCUCUUUGCACAGAAACUGAUAUUUUUGUUAUGUUUAUCAAAUGCACGAAAGGAUUCUGAUCUGUAACUGGAGCUGAAAUACAAAAUCAAUAGUAAAGAUGACAGUGGCACUGAUAUAGCCAACUAACUUCAUAGUGGAUUUUGGAUCCUGUUUGGUGGAGGUUCAGUUUUCUAACAACCUGUGUCUGGGGCUCACUGGAAGUCAUGCAUGGAGACCACUUGCCUUUUUCCCUACCAGCAAUACUUCUCUUUUUUCAGGGAUGACAGGCCAAGAGCAGCCCCGGGCGUGCUGAGCUAAGGCCAGCAGCAUUUCUCCUUUGUGGAUCAAACAGCAGGAGUUGGAAUGAACCUUCCUCAAAUUCUCUUUCAGGAUCUCCUCCAGGCAAAACUUUGAGGUUUGCAUAACUCUGAAAAGUAAUCUGACUUUACUUUGGCAAUGAAAAAGAAGCCUCUUAUUUGUGCCAAGCAAAAACAUAUUUCUUCUUAGUAACAUUUUUCAUUGCUAAUAUGUCAUUUCUAUCUCCCUCUCUUUCUUUUUUUUUUUCCCCUUGCUGUGAUUAUCCUCUCUUUUAAGGACACUUUUACAUAUACUGUUUUGGGCAUGCUGAGACAAGAGUAAGAUAUUUGCAGUAGUUUAGGAAAAUGCAUGGAUUUGAUGUGGUCAUGCAAAACAUUUCAGUUAGUGGUCUGAAUGUGUUGUUGAAAACUGAAGGAUUAUAUAAAUAAAUGGAAAAGUCAAUUUUCCUUUGUUUCCUGAAAUAUUCCCUCAAUAAAUCAAAAAAUGAAAAAAGAAAACAAGAAUGUCACUUUGCAAUUAAUAGAUAGAAAUGUGUUUUUAAUACUAUCUAAUACAUUGCCAGACUAAAAGAAAGCGGCUAUCAUCUUCAUUUUUGAUCAAGGCAAGGAAUUUCUGUGAUGCUUUUCAUUUUCUCAUAUGAAAUAUUUAGUUUGGAGCCAACUACAGCCACAGAGAUGUCAAGACAUGGUACCUUCUGCCAUUAAAAUUUUCUGCUAGUAGUUACAAGAAAGUUUAGUUUGGGAUCUACAAGAUCUUUUGGGCUGUUUCAGGAGAUGGCUUGUGUCUCAAAGGUGGAUAUUUAUGUAUUUAUUUAUUAUUAUUAUUAAUUUAUUUUUUAAAAAAAGAAAAAAAUAUAUAUGUGUGUCUUCUCAGUGAUACAGCUGUGGCUACUUCUUGUGAUGGGUCCUUCUCAAAUUCUUGAAUGUAGCAAGUUCUAGCAUGAUAAUCUUAAAUUCCUGGUGAUUUUCUAAUGUUCUGGUGUGUUUCAAAAUAUCACACAUAUUGCCUUUAAGCUAUCACACUCAUCUCAUUUAAUCUUUUUGGAAGUGGAAAAAGAAGACAGUCUAGCUGUACAUUAUGUAUUUAAAUCAAGAAAUGUCUGAAGGGGCCAUACGAAGACAGGAGCUGCUGAGACAGGUUGGAGAGAGGUCAGGCUGGAUCACGUUGAUCAUGAGUUACAGCUUUAACCAUAUAGAUGGAAAUCACUGAGGCAGAACAUGGGCAACGGGCAGCUUUCAUCCCACCUUUGUCAGCUCUGAGGGUGAUGGAGUACAGGUUGUAAGUCCUUGAUGUUAAAUAUGGUAAUACACCAAGAAGUUGAAGUUAAUAACAAAGAGAAGGACAAGGGAAUACAAUUUUGAACAAAAGAGGCAGGUUAAAGUGAUUUAUUGGGAGCGCUGAAAUUCUUAUUACUAUGUAAUGAUCAGAAGUUUUUAGGCUUCCUGUGGCCAGAAGUGAGUACUUUGCACUAAGAUGAGUAGGCAGAGGGUGUUCUUGUCUUACAUUGCAUAAUUAUUCUGUAGUGAAAAGCACUUAUUCUAUUCUGUGUGCUCUCUUCAAGCAUUUACUCUCUAAUCCUUCUAUAAAUUAAGAGACAAUAAUCACCUACUGCUUUUUCAAAGUUUCCUGUUCCUGUUUGAUGUCAUUGUGUUUAAUUUAUCUUUUACACCAGGGUUAAGCCCGACUUACUUUUUUUUAGUGCUGCCCCUAUUUAAUCUUCUUAAUUUAUGUGAUGUGCUGAUAUUUGUUUAGAACUCUAAAAUGGAUAUAAAAAAUAAAAUGGAGAUAUCACUGAAACAAAGAGAACCUCUGUUAACAAGAACUGUAAAGUAAUAUUUCUGUCUUCUAAUCUCUAAUGAGAUCACACUAAUGAAGAGAAACUGUGCAAAGAAAGUUUUCACUUUGUGUUAGAUUGUUUUUUAAACAGAAAUUAGAAUCCAGGAACAGAUUUUUGGUAUCUUAUUUUGGUAUUACGUCACAAAUACAAUGCAUCAGUUUCCAUACAAAGGGAUGACAUGAUCUAGAACAUCUCUGAACUAUUAGAAUUCAUUAAUUAUUUUUUGAAUGAAAAAUACUAUGUUUUCAGAAGCAAAUGCUAUAUCAUUUAUGGACCACACAAGACAAAAUCAUCUAUCAAUUUUAACUCUCCAACCCAUAAAAACUUAAAGUGAAUUAAAGAUGCCACUUGAAAAUAAUUUAAUUUUCUUGCAACCUGACAAACUUCAGGACGUGCAGCUGUAUCCAUUUCUGAGACGCUGGUGGCAGAAGGUGCAUUGACAACAAUUGAUCCUGUCGACUCCCAUGGCUGAUCGAACUAGAAAACUUGUCUGCAUAGCAGGUACUGUAAUCCAAAUUUAUGACAGACCCAACAAGACUUCUCUAGAACCAAGUUUAUGUCACAGAAUAGUGACAGUGGAAGAAAAUGCUGUAAGAGGGUUGACUGUGACCAUGAAAUCGAUUUCUGCUGCUGUGUAGGAACUUCCACCUUAGUCUUCUGAUUCAAGUGAUCCUCCUCUCUACCACACAGAAUUUCUUGUUGGUUGCUAUUGUUGUUGUUGGUCUUGCUAUCCCUGUGUGGUCGUUAUAUAUUAAUAUAUCUGCAUUCCUGAAUUUAUUUUUCUUUUUUUUUUGGCUUAAUCAGUGCUUGUUUAUACACCUUUGGUCAUUUAAUGAAACCAAAGGCGCCAUUUUGUCACCUACCUACCAUCACUUGUUUUGGGUUUACAGUCAGUCUGGUGGAGAAACUGUGGGUAAGAUGUAUCAUUUGCCAUUUCUCAACUAAGCUUCUCAUUUGAAUAGCUAAAAAUCUCAGGCCAAACUAAACUAAAUUUAUUGUAACUGUUCAGAUUAAGGAGUUGUUAUUUAGAUUAACAGCAUAUGAGGGUUUUUUUGAUUGGAAGCAUUCUUUGCUGUUGUGCCUUCACAUUGCAAUAAAUGAGAAAGGGUAUAUCAAUUAAGCUUAUUAGCAGUAUUGCUCGUCGAGAUGGAACUUAAAAUGGCAAAAUAAUAUCCCUCUAUACAUGAUCCUCAAAGGAAAUAAAUUAAACUGCCAAAAGUGUGGGUGAACACACUGAUUUUAGGUUGUUAGUUAGCUGAGCUGUCCUGGUUAGGCAGGGAUUUCUCUUCUGUCUUCCUAACCAAUAACAUUAUGCCAGCAAAACUUUCAGGUUUUAGACGGUAUAUAAGUGAUAUAUUUCACUUGAAUGAUCUCAAAAUGUUUUGUGUAUCUCAGUAUCACAAAUGUCCUUUUUAACACCAGUUUACCAAAGCUAGUGUUGUAAAUGCAUUAGAUGCAUUUUAUAGAUUUUAUAAAACAGUAGCAGCAUAACUCUCAAAUACUCAGCGUUUCUCAGUUCUCUAAUGCUAUGUAUUUCUCAAAUAACCAUCCUUAUUUGUAAAAAUUAGUUCUGGAAAACACCAAGAAUUACAGACUUUCAGGUUCAAGUUCUUUGCAACAGAAAUAGAAUUCUUAGAGAUCAGCAAAAAGAAUCAUGGGGUCUUCAGAAAGUAAUUAGAUGCUUGGUUAAUGAUAAUUUACUGAGAUGAUGUGAUUUUGUCAAAUAGAGGAGAAAUAAGUUCCAAGGAGCAAACAGAAAAAGAGAUGCCCAUUGUUUAUCUCAGUGCAGUUUAGCUGGCUGGUAUUUUCGGCUUUCUGUAGUUCUCUGGUCCAAACUUUGCAUGUAUUUUCAUGUGACUGAUUGAUUACACAUGAGAGCAGAUGGUGAAGUUUCUUUGGAUACUCAGUUACCUUGAACUUUCCAAGGAAAUAAUUUAAAAAUUCCCUAUGUUCUAAGUCACAUUUAAAUAAUCCAGGACUGUGAUUCAGCUGUUUCGGGCCCAUUACAUACCCCAAGUGGAAAAGCCUCGUGCAGCCUUCUGUCAAAAACAUAUGGAGAUAAUAUGGUGGAAAGUGGAACAAUUAGCAGUAAUCAGCCUGUUUUAGAUCCUCUCAGAGCAGUACCAGAUUCCUCCCCAAAUGGAGCUACUCAGAUCACGGCAGACACAGCCACUGGCUGUCCAAGUGCUGAGCAUCUGUGAUCCCAUUGACUCACUUGGAGAUGUAAAUCCUCAGCUGUUCUAAAAUCUGCUAAGUUUUGCAGUUAUUUGCAUGUUAAAUUCCUCAUGCACGGGUUAUGUGCCUGGCUUUGCUCCCUGGUCACUCUUUUGGGAGACAUAGGCUCAGGUCCGUACUUAUGUAGCAUAAGCAGUACUGCCCAUUAAUCCAGGUUUGUAUUUUUGGAAGAGUUUUCCCUUUUCUAUGAUCCCAGUAGAUUUUUCUCUUGCCUCCUCAUUAUCAGCUUUCUUAUAUUGAAUAGUCAAAGAACAGUAGGACCUUCUUUCCUCUCCUAACACUAAAAAUGAGCCAUCAUUCUCAAACCUUUCCCACUUCCUUCAUGUUUUCUCAAACCCAUCUGUAAACUUGCGUUUGCACUUAAAUUUGCUCAAAGCUUGGGACCUAUUGCCUGGGCACCGUGUUGCUGCCUCUUACACAAAGAACUGGUCCCUGUGUUUUGGAGUAGAAAUUCAUCCUAGGGAUGGAAAAAUCACAGCAUGGCUUGAAAAGCAAGGCUUUUCUGCUGGUUGACUCCAGAAACUCCUACUGAGCUGGUGUCCCCAGGCUUGGUCAUCUUGGUAUAACAAUAUUUCUAGGCAGACCACAGCCUUGUGUCCACUUCUGCCCUGUUUUAUGCACAGGGACUAUUGCCAGGGCCAAAGGGGUUGGUCAACUCCUGGCUCAUCCUUGGUGUGAUGCCCUCAGGGCUGCUGAAAGAGUUCAUGACUGUGCUGGCUUCACUGCAGUCUUCACCAUGAGCAUCUUAGCCACAGCAAAGGGCUCUCAUUGCUUCCUCUGGGCAUUUUGUGCCUAAACACUUUGUUAUAGUGACCCUUCAAUAAAGGCUAAAUUAGUACAUCUAGUUUUAGACCGAGUGUAUUUAUCUUAGGAUAACAUGACCACAGUUAAUAAUUGAGCCGUAAUUGAAAUUUGCCUUUAACAGCAUCUCCUGACUAAUUGAAUUGUGUCUAGACAUUUUCUCUCACUACUGUUUUCUGGCUCCUCUGAUCAGCCUGAAAGGUAACUCCCCAGCAGUAUUAAACUAAGACUAAAUUGACCUGUCAUAGAAAUCAAGGCAGGAGUUCAUUUUUUACACUAGAGACUUUCCUGAACAAGUUAAGUGAGUGAGGUGAUAGUUUGUGCUUUGGUGCAUGGUGGAGAUAAGUGACUUCUGGUGUCACCCAAGAUUUUGGAAGUCAGUUUUGCCGUUGCGUUUCUUUCAUCAUAAUUAUUUCCAUCAGGACAAUAUGGGUUUUAGAGGCUUCAAAAUCUGAAUGUUAGCAUUAUAUUCUCUCACCAUGUGUAAAUUAACAUUUGAAUUGUGGAAUAUUAAAAUGAUGUUCUUGGGGUAGUUUAGAGCACCCUUCAUAAAGCUAUUUAUAACCAUGGAGAGAGGAAUGAAUGUCUCAGUUAAAACAGCCAGCUGACUAUGUGGCUUACAACAUAGAGAGCACUUCCCUCAUAAUGUUUGCAUUUGUGGGAAUAUUUCUUUUUCCUACACUUUGUCAUGCACUGAUUUUAAAUGACUGAUCUCUUGCACGAUAGCCUGUGUGGCUGCGAUACAGCUGGCAGGCAACUUAAGGAAUUCUUUAAUUUUUAAAUAUAUAAGUUAAAAUAACAGUGAUUGAAACUGUGGCUGUAUUAAACUUGAUAUAAAUAACUCGACUUACAUAAAUACAACUAUAACUUUAUAACUUGAAUUUACCUACAGAUUUUGUAUCACUUCAUCCAUUAUUCUAAAAACAUUUAUAGGGAAAGCAUACUAGCUGACUACUCAUAAUUUUUCUUGGGGGGACAUAAGGGACUUUUUGUCCUUGAAGUCACCUCUUGAUUUCUUAAAGCUGUAAAGAGCAACAGGACAUCAUGUUGCUGUAUAUACACACAGACAACAUGAAUAAUACAGAGAUCAAUUUAAAUGCUGGGUUUAUUUUUUCCACUACAAGAAGCAUGAGAUAUUUCCACUACAUGCCUGCAUGAAUUCACAGCUGGUGUAAAUCAGCAAAUUUCCAUUGAUUCCUUACUUGAUGCAGUGUAACUUUAGGAAAUGCAUAGCGACAUUAAAAAAGGUUAAACAACAAGAGAUCAGCCAGGAUCCUCAGACAUGACUAAUACAUACCAUGCAGAAAUUUCAUGCAAAUGUAUCUUAAACAACUUGAAGUGUGUGUUGUGGGUUGUUGUUUGAUUUUUUUGUUGUUGUUUUCCUUACUCUGAAUAGGUAUAGCUAGGAAAAAAAUAAAUUAAUUAAGCAGUAUCUAUUACAUAACACAAGUGCUAUUCCGAACAUGCUGCAUAAAUCUAUGCUCCGUGUCAUUGCAGCUGAAGCAGUCCCAGUCCUCUUGCGAGAAAUGGAAAUCUUGGCUAACACUACUGUGUCCUGUGCCUCCCACUCCCACCCUUGGAGUGGGGUGGAAGGAUUUAGGAGAGACCGACUGUGGUAACAAGCCUAAACCCGUCUAUUUAAUUCUAGAGCUAUUUUCCCUUUUUGCAAAAGCACACAACCUUUCUUCGUGCACCACUUUGUGGUGUAAAAACCUCUCUUGAUUAAAGCACUGUAUAAAUGCAAGACUUUUAUAACUGUGUCCCUGACUGGUGAUGCUGUUGGUUCAUCUGCUUCAUCUGCUACUGCUCAUGCUGUGAUCUUAAAGGCUUUCCAGCAUGUGAUAUAUUUGGGUGCUGUUAGAUUUAUAUCUGAGUUGAGAUUUUUCUUAUUGUUUAAGAGAGCAGGAUGCCAAAUUCCCACCAGACUGCUGAGAAAAUAAGCUUUCUCAUUCAAACAGGGUUCUUGUGUCUCAGCUGAAGGAUUUCACUCAGUUAAAAUCUUUCCAGUACAGGGACUGUCAACAUAUUUACAGGCAAUGGCUAAUGAUCAGGUGCUGCUCUCACAGGUGAACAAGGUGAAAAUGGGUGAUAAAAUUCAUUUCAUUAAAAUCAAUAUGUAUGGAAUGGCUUGACUUUGCAACUUUUGAGGAGAACUGACAGAUUUCUUGGAGUCCUGUAGUAUCCUGCCCAGCACCAGCUGCCCUUCUGUAUGUCAGAAGCUAUAUAAUAAAUGUGCAUGGGCUCCAUCUUGUAAAUUAUGUUGAUUUCUGUCUCCUAAACUAAGCUUAAUAUUUGGCUGAAAUGUUAACAGUAUUCUUUGUAAAAAAAACAACUGGGCUUACAUGUAUUACACUCUUGCUUGAGUGGAAAACUAUGAAGAUGGCCUGAUUUUCUUUCUGUAGAAAUUAUUUAUUUCCCCUCUCCUUCAUGUUUUCAUGUGGUCUCUGGAAUCCCUAAAGACUCUCUAUUUAACAGCAGCAGGCAAAUACCAUAUCUUCCCUUAAUCCCUGAAGCUCAGCAACUACAUUAUUUCAAGCACCUGGAAGGCAAGAACAGGUGGUGUCAUUUUUCUUCAGCACCAUUUUUUUUUUCAGAGUUAUUAAUAACUAAAAAGGUUGAUUUGUAUCCUUGUGUUCUAGUUGUUUUUUCAGCACUUCCAAAAGAGCCCAAGUUAUUCAAAGUUUCAGGAGGGACUCUUGUCUCUUCCACAAAGACAGUACUGGAGACAAAAGCAAGUCCGGAAACUAUAACAUUGGACUUGUAGCCAGAUGGGAUGCCAGAUGGCUAUUUUUAAAAAAAGUUAUCAUGGGGAAAAGGGGAGAAAGGAAAAGAAUUCAAGCUCAGCUUCAGAUGCAUCUUCAACCUGCUGUGUAUGAGGCUUUGAAAAGCAUGAUUCACUGUUUUCAUUGUGAGAACCUGCACUAACUUUUGCUCCUGUACAGCAGAACUAAUAUGUGUAUAAACAAUGCAGCUACUUUCACUAUCUGACAAGAAUAAGUUAUAUAUUAAGACCUGAAGAUGACUUUAUCAUACAGUCACCAACUUCAUGAAGCAGAACCUGCUUUGAAUGACCAUGAUUGUCCCACAGAGACAUCUCACAGAGUGAUCAUUAAAAUUCCUGGUCGCUUGCCAGUUGUCAUAAAAGUUCUUUGUCACCCAGUAGAACUAUGGUGCUGUGUAACUAAGCAGGCAAGGGUUUGUUUUCUGUAUUAUUUUCCCUGUUUUGUUCCCUUUGGCAGGUGCAUUGCUGUUGAAUAUACACCUACAAUCUUUAGUAGAACUUGAUAUCCUAAAUCUGUUCCAUGUUCAUCUAAUCUAUGCCAUGAUUAGUCUUUGAAGAGCAGUACAUGCCAUGAGUGAGUUAAUGUUUGAAUAAAAGAUAUAAGUUAAUCAGAACUAGGUAAGAUCAAGGCAACCAAAAUGACUUGGCUUAUUAACAGCCUGUUGAUGUAAAAUGCAGACCAUGCUAAAUAUUAAAUAUGUUGAUAAUUCUUUCCAAUUCGCAUCAAACUAAAUUCAACUUCAGAGUAAAUGAAUUAGUUCAACUUUGUCUUAAAUGAUGAUACUCUUAUUCUAAUAUGUGGGUAUUCCUAAUCUUCCUCUCUCUCUUAUUAUCAUUUGUAUUAUCAUUUGUAUUUAAUCUUCCAUUCUUCUUGAGAUGUUAAAUACUGUAUGAAGCAUCAUAACAGAACACAGUGGCUACUGCUCCUGCUUUGUGCUAAUCUGGUUGUGUGACCUUAGUGUGAUUCCCUGCAACUGCACAGAGAAAUUGUCCAAUACUUCUGAUCAGCCAUUCUCUAAUUGUUUUUAUUGUUUGGGAAUUAAUACUUAAAGGAUCACAAAGUUAAUUGCAGUGAACAUGGCAGCCUAAAUAGUUAUAAAUUCUGUGAACUUCACAAUAACAUCAGACCCAGUUGCAUGUUUGGAUGCCUUACAACUUGCUACAUCCAAGUUUAGGACGUGGGCAAAACCAUUAAUAUAGUGGUAGGAACGUAUUUAGUUAUAGGUACCUAGAGCUAUUUCCUUUUUGGACUAAAGAUGUUAACAAUGAUUGAAAAAACCUAAGUCAUGUCUUUAAUUUGUUGUAAAAAUAAACCGCUCCUCCUUACCUUUUAUUAACAUGAUACCCAGUGCUCUUUCCAAAGUUCUAUAAAUGGUCUUGAAAAGAAAACCCUGAAUCCGUGAAAUGUGUCGGGUUCAUUUAACAUCUGGAAGUACUCUCAUGGCUGUCUUCACUUCUUUCAAGACAGUGAAAAACUAGGCUGUAUGAUUUCUUGAUAUUCAUACAAGGAGUGCCUAGUAGCAUCAUUGCUAGUAAAUAAAAGAUUAAAUUUUCUACACUGGAGAUUGAUGUCUUAAGGUUUGGGUUUGGGCAUUUCCUGAGGGCCUGUUACUAACACAUAGUGUUAGGAGCUAUUUGUUUUUACUUUGUAACUAGAGGAGGCAAUCUAAUGCUCAUUAGGUAAUCUUUAUUGGACCAUCUCUGCUGUAUUUGUACUGAAUAGUACCCUUAUUACAUGCUUAGUUCCAUUUAUUUCAUCUGUUAAAAUUAGAUAUUUCCACUGUACUCAAAAAGCAUCCAUGUCCUUGGCUAGCAGGCCCAGAAUUUGAAGCUAACUGCUAGAAACUCUUUCCAAAGCAACUUUUUAAGCAGUUUAUUAUUUGCAUCUCUUCAGGAGCAAGGAUUCACAGCACCUGUGGCACCAGUCCCCCAUAUGGAAAUCAAGGGAAAGAACACAGUGACUGUGGUUUUAAAUGAAGAAAAAGAAAAACAGCUACACCAAUGAAUAGAGAAUAAAAGUGAAGACAUUCCCUGCAGGUAUUUCAAGGUAAAAACCUCCUCGGCAUUUUAACAGAUGUUCUGCAUUCACACAGCAUGCAGCCCAAAUGCUGGCACUGUGGCAGUGACUGGCGUCUUCUAGGAGCUCCUUUCCACAUACAUCACUCAUCUAGAUAUCAACUUUACUUGUCACAGGUAAAAAGCUGAUAGAAAACUCUAUUUUUUUUUGCUAGAUCCUGCUAAGAUAUAUUCAAGCGUACAGUGUUUAAUAAUUAUGUACUCUUGGAAAAAGUACCAAGAUUAAAUCAGCGAACUAGAGGAUAUUAAGCAUAGGAAAAAAAUACCCUGGGCAGAAAGCAAGCUUCCAGAUGGACUUGACCUUCACAGCUGUGUCUUGAACCUCCUGCUUAGGUUGGACACUUAAGAAACUCAGUUAAGUUCAUAGCGUCCAUCAGAUCCAGCUGAUGCUCUUGUGUUAUAGUUUAACUGGUGACCUGGAAGAGCGGCCUCCAUGGGUGCAUGACUGAUAUCUAAAAUAACAGGAACUUCCUAUUUAUCUGUAAAUAGUUACAGCUUUCUGUGCUGUGCUUGUUUUCUUCUGAAGGAACUGCAAUAAGCAGAUACCGUGGUGGUGUGUUUUAACCCUAUAGUCAGCUGUAGACCUUGUCGUCCUGUCAAAUAUAACAGACUUCACCAGGUUUAUGAGGAAUUUCUUCCAAUAAUUCCUCCUGAAAUGGAAGCAAUGGUUCAGAAUCUCAUGACUGACUCUGUGAACUUAACUCAUAUCAUCACUAAAAUAAGUUUGUUUGCAGAGAUUUUCUUUGUAUUUACUUUUCCAAACAAAGGAAAUUCUUUGUCAUUUUUUUUUUUUUUUUAUAUUGUGACAUUUUCUUGGGAGAUUCAAUUGUAUAUUUUUACUUUCUGUUUUUUUGUCUGUAUGUUCUCUGUGAGGCACAGAAUAUCCAAAACAAUGUACAAACCAAGCUUUUCCUUCUCAAUGACACGCAAGUCUCCAAAAGCAUCUCCCGUGCGUGUGCACUUGGGGCUGCGUUGUUUUGCUGGAAUUCUAUAGAAGUGCUCAUGGAUUCAGGGUUUCCAUGUUUUGGGGUGUUUAAUUUGAUACAAAUAGGUGUUAACUAUCCAUGUCCUUGCCAUUUGCUUUGCUAAAAUCUGAAGAUAUCUAUUUCAAAUUGAAAAAUCUUAACGCAUCACUUGAAAAUACUGACUGACCAGUAUAGUUCUGUCUUUUGCAGCUGCAAUAUGCUAUAUUGUCUGAAAAGUGAAUGAUUCAUUAGUUGUUUUGACAUAUUCUCAUGACAGUUUCAUAUUUUUGUACUCUGCCAAGGGCUUACAGUGUAAAACUAACAGAAGCUUUCCUAUACAUUCAGAAAAAAAGCCUGGAAGGAAGUUCUUAGUGAUUGCUCUAUUUACUCUUGAAUAUGAUGAUACAAAGAAAGCAUUUUCUAGCAGUGCAUGGGAUAUGCAUGCGAUAAGGAAGUUUUUCCUGAGGCUCCCAGCUCAGCCUAUGAUCACAGCAGCAUGGAAGGGAUUGGGAUCCUUUAUCACAUACAACCACUGCAGGGUUUUGUGAAGUAGUUCAACUUUGAAUGUGGACAAAAUUAUAUUUAAAAUGAAGAUUUUUUUGGACAGAAGUUACAUGAGCUAAUCCUUAUAAGUUAUAACAUAUGCCAUACCAAGUAGAAUGUAACAUAUUAAAACUUUGGAAACCCAUUAAGAUCCAUGACAUUUAACCCAGUUUAAUUUUUUGAAACAGCUUUUAUGAAAUAACAGUAAAUUCAGCUUUUCCAGCACGAUGCCUGUGUGUAAUAGAAUCAUCUGUUAGUGUGACUGAUGAUCCUACAGGGCUUGAGGAAAGAGGUUCUAGCAAUUAUGAAUCCUGAUUUGUGAGCAAACUGGCAUACAUCAGGAGAGCCUGUCUCUAGCUUUGUGUCCCAUCAUGUAUUCCCAUGCAAAGAGAUGUGAUUUAACCCAGAGCCAGAGACUUUGGUGCACAAAUACCAGUCAGAUAACUCCUUUAAGUUGGGGUCUAUCUCAUGUGAGGAUUACUCUGCUGCAGACUUCUCAACUGCAGAGCAUGGAUAGGUCUCAUUAAUUCCUGGAAAUAAUAUCAGCCAGAGAGCAGAGCUUAAAGUAAAACUUUUUCUAGGUUUCAGAGACUGAAUUCAGUCUGGAUUUGUGGCAGAAGUAACAACACAAUAGAAAAAAUUGUAUUCAGUCUAGAAAAAUGGUUGGUCUUAGUCAGUGGCCCAGUGCUGUAUUUAGGACCGAUGUCAUUAUGACCGUGUAAGAGGGAUUUCUGUUCCAUUUUAUUCCACACUGACCUGCUAAUUAAAGGUGUUAAGCUGACAAAGGAAACCAGAAAUUGUUUGUGAAAAAAUGGGGUGUUGAUGUCCUGUUAGUUGUGACUCUUAGGUGGUAAAAUGGGAUGGUACUGUACAUUGAAAGGUACUGAAGAAAACUGAUCCUAGAAGGACACAGCCCUAAAGUCAAAAGAGAAAUCUGGGUAGAAGUAGCUUAACUGUGUUACUGUUUCACUAUAUCUAUAUAUCCCUAAUGCUGUUGUAAGUAGAAGCAAUUGGCUGUGGCACAUUCCCAUGGUUGGUGUCUUUGAAGGACUUAACUAGAGAUGUUAAACAGGAGAACCCAAUGGGUAGAAAUAUGGGAGAAGAUACUUCGAUGUAACAGUGGCAUCUUGGCUUUGGUUAUUCUUUUUUUUCUCUACCCAGUCUUAAAGUCGUACAAACAUCAGAAUGAGGUCUCUGAGGAAAGGACACUGAAGAGAGGAUGACUGCAAGUGCGUGCCGGAGAAAUGGAAAAGAGCGUGCUGGAGUCUACAAGUGGUUAGGAAGACGAAAUCACCGUGGUGGACCACAGGUAAUUUCCACACUUAACAUAUAAGAAACCAAACAACCUUUGGAGCCAGACUCAACCAACCUACGUUCUGCAAGACCCGGUCACGGUGCUUUGCCACUGGCUGUGGGACUGGACCACAAUGUCCACAAAAUCAUCUGCCAGAUAGUUGGAUCUUCCCAAGUAUUGUUUGAGGACCAUGAUCUCAAGCUCCCCUAAAGACAUCACAAAUGUGAGUCAAAGAGCAGCAGUGACUCGAACAGGAAAAGCUUGUCUUUUCUGUUUUUUUUUCUCCUUUAUUCUGCUCCUCUCAUUUUCUCCCUUUACUCUCUUUCAUCUCUUUGUGUGUGUUCCGAGGUAUGCAAAUGUAUACAUAUAAUAUUUAUACUUAUGCAAACAAAAACUUUUGCUUUGAAAAUGUUAAGUAGUCAAAGAUCUGGGGAAGAAAAACCAGUGAGUUGUUGUUAUGCACUGAAACAAAAUAAAGCAAGACAAAGAAACUCUAGAUUUAUUACAAAACAAAAACCUCAGAAUAAUGCCUGCAAAACAAUGUACUUUAAGUACAGUAAUAAUUCCUUGAGGCAGAUUAAUGAGCCCCUUACGUGCGUUACACUUCAAUAGUGAAAUGCAACUCAAUCUAGCAGGGGGACGUAGCUCCAAUGUUUAGAGCCAGAAGGCUCUGGCUAGAAAAAUGUGCCUUUCUCAGCCACUGCAGAAUCCAGAAAUAUUACUCUGCAACUAUUAAAACGCACAAGAUCAUGGAAUUUUCAGUUAUAUAUUUUUUGAGUUAAUGAGAUGCCACAUUCUUAGAAGAAUCUAUUAUUUUCCAAAAUACUUGCCAUCCAGUGAUUCAGGGAAUUCACCUGGCUGAAAUCUAACCCAUAAGAAGAAAUAUUCGGUGUCUAGCUUGGUUGGCUCUCUGAUUCCUGUUGCACAGCAUGAUCACAGAUGUGCAAGGAUGGAGGCACACGUGGUGCUGGGAAGACUGGGAGGGUGAGGCUGCGAUGCAACAUCCAUGGGAGCAUCCCUUAUUUUUUCCUAUACAUAUAUAUAACAUCCACUGUUACAAAUAAUACAUUCUUUCCUUUCCUUAACAGACUCUAGCACAUAUAAUUUUGGCCAGCAGCUUGAAUAAACACAUCCCUUUGCAUCAAGGCUGUAUAAACAUAUUGGGUGCUGCCUGAUCCAAGACACCUUUACUCUUUCUUAGGCAUUUGUAUACUCCACUGCAAGAUGCCUUGGAAACUUUGGAGCUUCCAGCAUAACUGAAGACAAGCCAGAAGGAUCCUUCUUAGCGUGCUGUGUAUACACUGUCCACAUGUUAUAGAGAAGAGGAGAAAAUGUAUACAACAUUGAGGGAAAGCCACCACUGGAACACAGAUGGGGACACCUCUUCCUGAGGCCAAAGGAUGCAUUUCCCAAUGACAAACAGGAGCUGGCGUUAUGUGUAGGCUCAAUGCGGUAAAUAUGACAAACAAAGGGGCUGUAGCUAGAAAGGAAAAUGGCACUUCCCAAAGGAGUAGAUAGAAGUAAAUGUGAAAAAAGCCCUUGAAAUGAUGAAAGACAUUAAUGGAAAGUGAUGGAAAAGGGGAGGUCAUAUGCACAUGGCAGUUGACAGGUGAAAGCUGAUUUCCUUUUGGGUUUCUGUUUAGUAACAGAUGUGGCAGGAAGUUCCAGCAGAAUUAAAAAAAAAAAAUCACAGAAACCACACCAGGAGUGUUGAGAGCUGUGGGCAAGACGGUGUCUGUCACAGGAACAAAGGCAAUAUUUGUAUGCUUUGAAAGGGCAACCGUUGACAUACAUGACAAGUAAUAUAAAAUGGUCCUUUGAUUGGAGCCACAGACAGCGUGACAGGUUUCAAAGCCUACAAGACUGCACUAGACCUUUUUUUAAAAUAUAUAUAAGGGGUCUCCUAAGUGAAAACGAAUCUUGUUUAUGGCAUCUUAGCCAAGGAGUGCUCCAAGCUGAGGGUCCUUCCACCCCAGCCAGCAGCUCCAGGGACAGGUCAGGGCAUCUCCAGCCCCAGCUGAAUUAACUGGCUACAUGUCACUAUUGCACACUGGCUUACAGCAGCAAGGACAGUAUUGAAUAUCACCAGUGCAAAACUGAGCACAAACCAACUAAAACACAACCAGCUUUUAAACAGGGGGAGUCGAAGGGAGAUUAGGAGGAGCAUGGUCAACCUCCAGGCCCCUUUCCUCACGCAAAGCCCCUUUUCCCGAUGGCCAAGAUAGGUACAAAAUUGAACUAGGAGUGCUGUUGGCUGAAAACCAGCUACAUGGCGUAAUUCUUGGGCUGUGCCAUGAUCAAUGUCAUAUGCUGCAGUGCUACUUUAAACAUCAGUAGUAGAAACAGUAGAAGCAUUAGCAGUGACCAACAUCAGAGGCAACAGCAAGAUGGUUUUAAUUGCCUAGAGCGACAUACGAUUAUAUUUAAACAUUGUAAGGGACUCUGGCCGGGUGUUUCUCACCACUGCUACACGUCUGUAAGUCUCCAGCUUCAGCGCUACAACCAUCUAGUUUAUAUUUCUGUUUGUCAGACUUAAGAGUAUGUGCCCCACAUCGUAUGCCAGAGAGGGACAGGCAAAACUACAGAGACAGAAGUUUCCCAAACACAUUUGGCAUAAGGUCAAAUAAGUGUAGAGAAGCUUGAUCCAGUUAAUAAUUAAUAGCAGAUUUUUAAAGUAGGAAAACUCAUCCUGUUUGUUAUAAUUCAUUGUUGCAAAAUGUGAUUAUGUUCUGCUGAAUUUAUGAGGGAAGGCCUCAAAGCUCUGCUUAUUUUUCGGUGACAGAUGGCUCAGUUUUGUUAUGCUCAGCAAUAAUUUGUGAUAUAAUGAAGAAUUUUGUAUGAUUUAUACAAAAGAGUUUACAUCUUCAUUGUAAAUAAACACUGUUCAUUUCAUGCUAUUAAGUCUUGAAAGCUGAACCAAGAAAAAUGUGGUUUAAGAUGCAGUUUAAAAGCUAGUGAAGAUCAAAAGUGAUAAAUAGUGUGACAAUCUUUUUGGAAAGGAUGUAAGUCAUCAUGCUUCCAGGACAUAAGAUAACCUCUAAUUAAUGGGGGCUAGUAAGAAUUUUUUCCUGUCAGCAAGUUAUUCUAUAAUUGCGUUCUGUAAGGCUUCCUGUACUUUUCUCUGAAGCAGCUGGUAUGCUUCUGCAGGAUCAGUACGAUAAAAUCAAUAAAACCCCAAUCCAGUCCUAAAACUCUGUGAAUGUCUUUUUUAUGGGAACUUUUCACCCACCCAAGACUGAGCCCUCUUGCUUUGUAAGGCAAAAACUGCUAAAUCCUAAGGCAGAAAGAAUUAUUUGCUUUCAUUAGUGAUGUCUUCACUUGUGACAGGAAAAACAAACCCCAAAUCCUUCAACUCAUGUGUUGGCAUGUAGGAAGGAAGGUAAAAAUCAUUUUUUCAGUGACUUCGUCUGGAAAAGCAGUUACUUGUCUUGUUAAUAUGGACACGCAAUACUCAUGUAUAGUAUCCUUCUAAUAGGGUGAAAUAAAUACCUAGAGGUCUUGCGGGUGUGUCUGGGUAAAAGAAAUCUAACCCAAACAGUCAUCUGAGCUUUGGGGCUGUGUUUAGCAAGCCUUUGCCUUUGUCCUUGUCCUCAACUCUGUUGCUUAUAAUUUUCCCCCAGUACUUUACUUGUCUUCAUCAAAACUACUUUUAGACUAAAAUCUCAUUUUUGCUAUGUAAAAGGUAGGGCUCCAUAAUAACCGAUUUAUUGCAACCACAGAGUUCAGAAACAAAUUGAGAAAAUUGCCCUCUGGAGGUGCCUUUGCCCUUUUAUUCAUCAUACAAAGAAACUAAGGGAUUGGCAUAGGCUUAGAUUGGUCUAGCUUAACUUUAAGCUAAUGGCAAGUUGGUGCAAUGAAUCACAUCUUAGGUAUCUAACAUGUCAUUGGAAAGAUGUUUUUAUUUCUACCUGAUAAUAGCAUAUAUCUACUUUUUAAAGUACGAAAAGUAGGCAUGGGAGAGGGAGCAUACCUAAGGACUGAUAAAACUGGGGGUAUAUACAUCUUGUUUGGGAAGAUGGUCCCCAUUUUGCUCAGGGUCUGAGCCAAAUAAAAGAAGAAUUCACUGGACAUGAAUGAGCUUUCAUUGGUCCUCUAGGCAAUCCAACACUUGGACAUUUUACUGAGGUGUAUUUGCAAUUCCUUCCCUCCCCUCUGUCUUCCAUCAAUGUCAAAACAUGAAUUAUAUUGUCUCUUUUUUUUUGCUUGUUUUGACAUGCACCAGGAAAAAUGAACCUAUUCAUGCUUCAGAACCCUAUGACUUGUAGAGUUUGCACUGAUCAUCAUUUACUAGCUGUGAAUAAAGUCUUCAAACCCUAUUCUAACCAUUACAGCACUAAUUAUAGUUUCCUUAAGUAAAAUGCUCCUGAACUGUAAUUACCCAUAAGAUUAUAUGCUGGUAGCUACACAAUAAACUGUAUGACACAAUUCUAGCAGGGGGUCUGAGCUCACCCUACUCUCCCAGUCAAACCAAUCUGUUUAGACAAAACCACAGUAGUUAGGAUUAAUGCUGGAAAACCAGCUAUGGAUUCCCCCAGCCUAAAUAUCCGCAGAAAACUCAUUUUGCAUUCCGUAUGCACUGCUCAGUUUGCAGUGUUGCUCUCAAUUCUCAGCUGAUGUAAACAGAUGUUGAUCUGCUGAAUACUGAUUUUCAUCAGUUCAGGUUUUGGCUCACGCAAUACAGAGUUCUCAUCCCUUUGUGUUUAAGAAAACACAGGAAUUUUGGAGGAUAGUUCUAGUAAAAAAGACACUAUUGCCUGUGCACUUAUAAAUGUUCACUGUUCCAUUUGCAUGCAUGAAAUAGACACAGUUCAGGGCUGUAUCACAGCUUGCCAGAAAUAGAUGUGUAUCAGAGAGAAGAUGAUGUCUCAGCUUUGUGGUGUGCGCUCUGUAUUAAUUUCCCAUGUCUGGUAGUCAACAAUGCCAACACUUAACGGGAGACAGCAAUCCCUGGUGCAGCUGCAGUGACCCCUUGGAAUUACCCCAUGACAACUCUCAUCUACUGAGCAGCAAGAGAUAAAUUAAACAGGACUUGAAAUUUGGAACCAGUUCAGGCUUUAGAUAUGUGGAGGACUGGGGUUAGAGGAGACGUUUUCUUAUCAUCCUCUGUAAAUCCACACUCCCUUCCUGUACAUGAUCAGGUAGUUUCUUCUAAGGCAAAAUACAAGAGCAGCAUAAAACAACUCAUUCCUGCUUAUGUGAAUAUGAUUUUAUGUGACAGAAGCAACUGCUCUUUGAAUCGAAUGUUGUUAUUUGCCUCCAGAAUGUGGUGGUUUGGAUGCAUGACAUUGACUUCCCAGCUAACACAAUUUACUCCCCAAUUGCUUUUACAGACAACAUUUCAAGCAAUUAAGAGCAAUUAAUAAUGAGUUUUCAUAACACUAAAAAAUACGUCUGUGAAGAGCUUUAAAAAAUUGCAAUGUAAGAUUCUAAAAUUCACUUUUGCUUAGAUAUUAGCUGGGAAAACUAUCAGAAAAUUCCAUUAAAUAUUUUAAGCUUCCCUAUCUACACAUAAAAGCCAGUUACCAGAAUUGCAAACGUGUUUAAAUAGAGACUAUUUGUUUUCUUCCCCAAAACAGUAUUGGGGGAUUUUUAUUUUUCCUGUUAAAUAAUCCACUAUUGCUCCACUGCUCAGAUGAAAAACAUAUACAUCUAUUCUGUCCGUAUUCCUAUUGAAUUCCAUAUGCCUGAUGAUGCUGCGGUAGCACCGGAGGAUUCUGCCUUCGCUAAGCUCUGCAGAGCACAGCCCCUUGUUUCUUUGAGUAGAAUUCAGAAAUAAAAUUGCAUGUGCUGAGGAGUUGCUUGGAAUUAAAACACGCUUUGCAUAUGCACAGAACAGGGGUGGAAAAGGGCAGGAUUAUGUGCAAUUACAUGAGAAUGAGGCACUAAAGCACUGAAGCUGUAAGUCAGGAUCAGUAAUUAGCAUACGCUGUACUAUUCUGCGGUAAGAGGUGCUUCAAUUUAAGAGCAAAUUAAAAAGUUUGAGGAGAGUGCCUUAAAAUUAAUAAAGCGUUUCAUGAUUAUAAGGUGGAUUUUAAUUUAGAAGGCAAUUACUGGUAUUCUCACAUUUCUGAAUACUGAGAACCUGAAGACAUAAUGAUUUUCGAUCUACAUGUGCCUCUAUUGUGGUUUUUAAUGAGACCAAAUUCUAGAUUCCAACCAUCAGUGUUUGCUCUUGUUUUACAGUCUGCUUGUGUCUUAGAGAGUUCUUGUUACUUCCUAAUUUUCAUGGAUUACAGAAGAUUAAUUUUAUUAUAUGAGAUUAAUUUUAAAGAGCAGUGAUGAUCCCAGGUCUAGGCUCUCACAGACAUUGCUGUGACCUUGUUCACAUCCAUUUAAAGCAAAUAUUUGGGUUCUGUGGGAUUCUGAAAAUGCUGUACAUUUUCCUCUAGCUACACAAUAGAUGCAAUGUUGAAACCAGUUUUACACAGGCACAACUCUCUCAGUUUUGAUGAGCUUCUAGAGUUUCUUUACCAGAGGAAGGGAAUAAAUACACUGCAGCUUGAAGAUAUAGCUACAAAAAGAAUUCAGAGAGCAAGUCUUCUCUCGUUAUUGAAAGUGAAGUGUAAAAAUGAAUUAAAAAUGUAUUUUUACAUACAUACAACCACACAUAUGGAAGAAAAAAUACAGAGAGAAAGAGAUUUCUGUUGCCUAGUCGAACCUGUCUUUGCAACCAUGACAGUUACUAAUAAGCACAACUACAACAGCCAUCAUUUUGCUCUCACAUUAGGACUGAACUAAGUGUACUAUGGAGCUGUAAGCCUGGGCUUCUCUUGUCAGGUCUAAAGCUCAGUACCUGGAGCUGUGCACAGGUUUAGCUCUUCGGGAAGAUUUGCACAUAAGGAGUGGGACAGUAUCAUCCUGAGCCCAGAACCAGAUUUCCAAAAGGCAUCAAGCAAGAUGUCUUAAUACUUUGGAAAAUCUAGUCACUCGGGAGCACAAAAUCUCUCAGAAAUUAGUGAGGUGCAUCCAUUCACGUCACUCUGUUUCAUGUGAAUCCCUCUUCUCCAGAGAUUUUCACAAGCAUUUAAAAGAUUAAAAUCCAAAUAAGAAAAGAUGAGAACAAAGUCAGCAUUGAAUGAGACUAAGAGAAAAGGAAAUAGCUGAUUUAAUUAGGUUUUAAAGGAUGAUUCAGACCGACAUAAAUCUCAAUGAAAGGACAAAAAUAAUUACAGGUAACUAAUGCCAAGCAAUCUAAAGCUAAGGAAUUAAGUUAGCCUUGGGCACAGUACAUAACACACCCCGUUCUUCCUUCUGUAGAUAACGCGGUGCAUCCACUAAUUUAGAUCAUGAAGUUUCUUUUCCACAUGUAAUUAUUUUUAAUGCUGACAUUUCUUUUGCCAUUAGGGAAAUGGUGUUGAUAGCAUAACCAAGCAAAUCUCUCUAAAACACAGAAGUAUUUCUAUUUUGUUUUUCCUGGAGCUAAAAUGCCACGAGUCAAAACCAAAUGGCAUUAAUCAUUCUGCCACUGGAUAGAUUGCUAUAAAAUUAGAAAGAUAUAAACAAGUCUAGAUUCCAUAUUUUUUAUUUCUCUGUCUGUGAAUCAGUAGCAUUCCUCAUCCAUGGAUUUAUUUAUGAUGGUGUCAAAAGCCUAGCUCUUAAUUGGCCAUUUCUUGUGUCAGAGUUAUGGCCAAAAUUAAGCUCUGAUUUCAAAGAGGUAAUUCUUUAUUAUGGUCUUUUUUGUACCCAUACCUUCCAGACUGCAUUUCUUUCUGUUAUUCAACCGAACAUGCUAAUACAAGUGUUAGAAGGGUAAAUAAAUUGUUUUGCCAUUGACUGGAUUGAGAGUAUUGAUUUUGUUAAAUAAUGCAUGUUGGUAGUCCAGAAAGAAAAGCACUGUUUCUUGGAUCAGAUCCUACUCCAGACAUUUCCAUUUCUUUGGCUUAUGAGAGAUAACAUUGGGGGUUUCUUAUGCCUGAUUUUACAGGAAAAAAAGAUGGAAGUAUGAAUCAGGUAUUACAUUUCCGUAUCAGACAACCUGCAUUUAUGUAGGUGGGAAGCAACGAAUUAUCAGAAUUUUAAACGACAACUGGAAAACGGUCAUACUCCAAUGCAAACAUGUAAAAUCUGGGACAUGUUCAUUAUGUAAAUAAAUACUACAGGAGAUAUUUCAUGACUAGGGCUGAUUUUUAUAAUAGUCUUUGUCCCUUUUUAUGCUGUUUUUCUUCUUCUCCUUCUAUUAAAGCAGAAUCCUUAAUGUAACACCUCUUAAUUCAGCUACCUAUAUCCAGAAAUGUAUCCUUAGUUACCCUUUCAUGAAGUUAUGUAUUUCUAUUGAAGUAAAAUCUGAUCUAGAGGAAUGAUACAAGGAAAUAAUCUUUUCUAUCUUGUCAUGAAAAAUACAAACCCAAAAAUAAGCAUGCCAGCCCUUGAAGAUACUUAACCACAGUGGAGCAGAAUGACCCCCGUUAACAAUGAAAUGUAGAUUCCAUUUGAUUUUGAAUUAACCCUAAAGGGAAGUUUGACUGGGAAAGUGACAAAUAAGUGACUCUGAAGUUUUUGAGAAGUGCUGGUUGGGAAAUAUUUUCUUCUAUACUCCUCAAAAUGAAUGGACAAGUUUCAGCUCCCUGCAGUGGUGGCGUUUGAUGUCACAAGAAUAUCCCCCUGUCCAAAUGACAAGUGGGACAGACAGUGAAUUGCCUAAAACCAAGAAAGAGGGAUAUAAUUCUCCCACUUAAAAACAUGCAUAGGGCUCAGGUUUACUUUGUCUGGAAUGUCUUGUGGGAGCCAUGCAAGUCCCAGCCUUCUUGGUGAUUACAGAUGUGCUUUACUGCUCCCCUUUAUCACACGGCCCCUUCUCCAGCCCCUGGUGUGAAACGUGACCAGAGCUUCACUAAAGUACGAGGGACCUCUCAAUACGACCAUGCAUUGGGUGGUAACUGGUCUGGAGGAGCCUGUGUCCUGCACAGCUGCCUCUGGCCAUGGGAUGCAGCUGGAGGUGUCACAGCCCCAGAGGGCGCUGGACACUGAACAGGCUCCCCAGGGAGGUGUCACAACCCCAAGCCUGACAGUGUUCGAGAAGAGACUGGACAACAUCCUUAGACACAUGGUGUGAAUUUUGGCCUUGUCCUAUACAGGGACUGAAGUUGUACUUGAUCCUUGUGGGUCCCUUCCAACUCAGGACAUUCUGUGAAUCUAUUAUUGCUUUACCUCUGAACUGUGAUACCAUCAGGGUUGCCGAGCAGGAAACAAACCAGAUCUGCAAAUCUCUGGGCUGCCGACCAAGAGUGGGUGAUUUUGAUAUUCACUCCACAGGCUGAGCAGCAGAUAAAAGGCAAGAGAUCCCUGUGCUUGCACAGCUCCAGGGAAGUCGUUGCUAUUCUGGGCUAGAGGAGGCUUUUGAAAAGCUCCAAAGGGAGUCAGGAGCAUUAUUGCCAUUGGCAAUCAACAGAUUUAGUCCUGGGAGGGCACCCUAAACCAUGCUAUUAUUCAUUGCACUGGGAUACAGCAGGAAAAUUCUGCUGCCUUUGGGCAUUCAUCAAAUUCCCAGCUCUGCAAUGCUGCCAAUAUUCACUGUGCUGCUUGGAGAGAUGGUGGAGGUAUGUUCCCAAUUCCCAGCGAAGGAAAACAGUAUGAGAAUAUCCUAAUAUGUCAUUCUUUCAGACCAGAAGCUAUAUAAUUAAGCAGGUCCAUUAAGCUGGCCACUAAAUAUUAAGUAAUGGACUCUAUCUCUCUGAAGACCAGUACCUCACACAGUAAAAUUAAUGGCACUGUGAACCCAGCCAUUGCCUGACAGGAGCAGCCAGUUCACAGAGGUGCACUGGGCUAUUAGCAAAACCCUCGACCUGUGGAAGUUAAUAGAGAAACUUGUAUUUUGACCACAUAAAAGCCACCUACUUUUAAAAUUUAGUCUUUACAUCAGCAAAUGGAAGCUACAUAGAGAUGUUUCUCUUGCUUUGCUACGAAGAUGAUUUUUUAGAGCCCGUCUGCACCAGAAUUUAGGCAAAAGCAGAGCAAAAUACAAAACCUCAAAAUGUGCAUAUAAAUCAAUCAUACUAAAUGUGAUCCAAAAAAUAAUUUUGUGUGUAGUUUUCAAACUCCAGCAUUGCAUAAACUAAAUGCCCUGCAGCACAAUUGGACUGACUUGAAGUACAAAGUAAAAGAAAUACACACUGGGAUGUGUUUCUUGUUGCUGUACUUUUCCUAUUUCCUUUAAAAAGUUGUAUUAUAGCUCAUAAUAGUUGAUAAGUGAAAAUUGGAAAUGUCACUUAAAAGAGUGAAGUCAUUUAAUUUCGUGCUGUAGGUUUCUAACAUGCGUCUAUGGAAAUGUUCUCAUCUAUCCCAGGUACUUUCACCAUUUCAAAUAUUUAAGCAAGGAUAGGGCAUGCCUGAGAGAUGCAUGUGAGAGCUUUUUCUGUUAAAGAAUUUAACCUCUGAAUUUUACAAGCAGAGACUCGAUGUCUAGAUAUGAGUUCUUUGCCUGCUUUUAAGCAAAUUUUACUUUAAAGUCAUUUGGAAAUCUGUGCCCAGGUCUUUAUUCUACAUGACACUUGGAGUUCUUUUUUAUUGACUUAGGCGGCAUCUUGCCAAAGUGAAAAUGUUUGAAGACAGGCUGCUGGCACGUGAAGAAAUGUAAAAAGAACAGAAUUAUUUUGGGUGGAAAUAAAAGAAAUGGAACAAAAUAAACUUUUCCCCUUUUUAUGGUCAUGUUUACUUCACAGACAGUAGUAACAGAGCAAAUCUAAUCUCUGUCAUGGGAAGGUGCUGGUGUUUUUGUGCACCCAACACAUUUAUUAGCUAUCCUAAUCCUGUGAUUCAGCCACAUACUCCUGGAUGUGCACAAUUAGAAAAGCUUUAUCUCAGCACCCUUAUUUCUCAGACCUCUUCUCUACCUUUAGUUCCUCACACUUGUUUCCUUUCCCUUCAUGAUCACCCACUUUUUUAUUUUUCCCUCUUUGUUUUCCCCUUUACCUCUUUUUCUGCAUUUUUGUUGGCUAUCUGAAGGUAGGAAUUGAGGUCAUGAAAUAUUAU